rnacentral:rRNA from 1 species
UACGGGGGGAGCAAGCGUUGUUCGGAUUUACUGGGCGUAAAGGGCGCGUAGGCGGUCAGCACAAGUCAGUUGUGAAAUCUCCGGGCUUAACUCGGAAAGGUCAACUGAUACUGUGCGACUAGAGUGCGGAAGGGGCAACUGGAAUUCUUGGUGUAGCGGUGAAAUGCGUAGAUAUCAAGAGGAACACCUGCGGCGAAGGCGGGUUGCUGGGCCGACACUGACGCUGAGACACGAAAGCGUGGGUAGCAAACAGG